AUUAAUACAGUUUCUGUGUGAUUAUUUCGGGGCUAAGCAGGGGACGAACAAAUGGCCUUCCUCAUACAACUAAGGUUCUGUCGAAGAAAACACAUUUUUUGGGGGGAGCUGUUGUCAGUUGAAGAUACCCUCUGGGUGAGGAGUAAGAGCUUAUGUCCACUUUCCUGCUCAGUCCUGGUAGCCUAUCUGACUAGCCCUGUGUAGGUCCUGUGUAUGCUGCCACAGCCUCUGUGAUUUCAUAUGUGUAUUAGCCCCGUUGUGUCUAGAAGUCCUUGUUUCCUUGGUGUCUUCCAACCUCUCUGGCUAUUACAAUCUUUCUGCCUCUUCUACAAAGUUCCCAGAGCGCUGCAGGGAGGGAUUUGAAGGAGACAUCCCAUUUAGAAUUGAGUAGGCCAAGGUCUCUCACUCCCUGCACAUUGCACAGUUGAGGGUCUCUGUAUUUGUUCCCAUCUGCUGCAGGAGGAAGCUUCUCUGAUGAUGGCUGAGCAAGGCACUGAUCUAUGAGUCUAGUAGGAUCUUGUUAGGUCUACUUUAGUAGAACAGUGAUAUUUGCUUUUGUCCCCCUUGGUUCCUGGUCUAUUUAGUCUCAGGUUAUUGGCCACCCAAGCAUUGUCAGGCAUGGGUUCCUUUUGAUCAGCAGCCAUUUCCUAGCCCCAUACAUACAGACAUCUAUUCUAUUCAGAGCUUUGGUUUCUUAAAUUUACUGAGCAGUAUAAUAUCCUACAAUCUGGUCUAUGACAGAUCAUAUAUUCUAAGGGUCUCAACUUGUCCUAACAAUUACUCCAAUUCUGAUAUCCUGCUUAUUUAAGUUCAUCACUGUUGAUUUGGCAAUCUUUUAGAAACAAAGCAGAAAUUUAGUUUUGCCAUAUAUUCACCUAGUCUUAUGAAAUACUACCUAGUCGAAGUCCUGAAACCAUAACAUUGCCAAUGGUAAUGACUUUUUCCAAAACAGCAGUUUUGGAAAUGCCCCUGAUGAAUUAGGCUGGAAAGGAGGCUAUUUUCCUACAAUAUAGAUAAAUUGUGUAGGUUGUGAUUUGCCUUACAAUGGCUUAAUUUACUCAUCCAAGAAGCAAAUCUGCUGCACAAGUUCCCCCAGUUCCCAAAUAUAGGUUCAAGUUGCUCUUUUGCAAGUCUUUAAUUCUCUAAAGGUUUUCAUGAAAUCACGGUAAUUUCAGUCAACACAGUUUCCUCAAAUUCCUGUCUCAUAGCAGAUGACGUCAUAGCCACUCCAUUUUGUGGUAAUGCCCCUCCCAUGGAUAUUCUCUUGCAUAAGGUUCCAGAGAAAAGCGGAGGGGAUGAACUCAGCCCUCUGUCUCUGAUGCAUAAUUGAGAUGAUUAAUCCUCGCAGGAGGGAUUUUCCACACAUCACUUGAUCAUAUUCAUUUGUCACCCUGAUAAUUUGCAAUUUACCCUAUAGAAACGACAAGAUAAACAUAUUUAAAAUACAGUAAACAUAUUAAGGCUUCUUCCUUAGGUUUUGUGAACCCCAAAUAUACCUGGUAAUAAGAUAACGCAUUUUUAAAAUUUAAAAUAGGACACUAAUUUAAAAAUAUAUGAUUAUGCCAUUUCCUCCAAUGCAACAAGAUCACAGGGUAAAAAAUGGCUGCAUCAGGGCACCAUGGAGAGCUGUGUUUCACUUGCUCAUUCAUUCAUUUUUAUUAUUUUAAGGUCCAACCCAAAUGUUACAGUCGUCAAUGAGCGAAUGAGAAUUUCUCACCUCACAUGGUUUAAUUCAGCCACUUCCUAGGACGUUGACUGCACAUCAGGCAUGUGAGAAGAAAUCACAGCUCUUACAUUCAUUGCCAUUUGCCUCCCCAAAUCUCACUUAGCUCUCAUGAGACUCAUUUAUCCCUAUGGACUCAAGGACUUAAUUUAUAUAAAAAAUUCUUUACACAUGGAAAGAAACAAAAUAUUCAACUAAUUAAAGUCUCCAAAAAAGAAGUGGUGCUAACCCAUUUUUAUAGCUCUCAUCAGAGCCUAAGAAUAAGGGGAGGAUAACAAGAGUAAGCAAUACAGUUCAACCUUUGCUGGCAUCAGAAUCCUCCACGACUGUGGGGUGACGCUCUCUGCACAGGUCAAGCAGCUGCUACACACCAGUGUGGGUUUGGAUUGCAAAGUCUUUUCAAGAGGUUGUUAGAUUUCUUUAUUUUAUGCUAUGAGAGCUUGCCAUGCAUGUAUCUGUGGUAGUCAGAAGAGGGCUUUGGAAUCCCAGAACUGAAGCUGUGGGUGGUUGAGAGCAACCAAGGAAAUGCUGGGAAUCAAAGCCAGGUCUUCUUGCAAGAGCAACAAGUGCUCUAACUGUGAGCUGUCUCUCUGACUUCUACAAACUCUGUCUUUCUACAAAUAUUAUCUCUCAGGCUGGAAGGAAGAAAGAAAAGAAAAGGAAAGAAAGAAAGAAAGAAAGAAAGAAAGAAAGAAAGAAGAGAAAGAGGAAUGAAGAAAAACUUACUGCUGCCAUGACCACCCUCAUUUCCUAUGACCAAAGACCUGACAAGAAACAACUGAAGAAGGACAGACUUAUUUUAACUCAAAGUUGGUGGAUACAGCCCAUCUUGGAAGGGAAAUCAUGGCCGGUGGAGAAAGGAUGUCUUUCCCAGAGCAUCACCGAGCAGUCUUCCUGGCACCAGGUGACUUGGUCCUAUGUGACAGAAGAGAAGAGAAGUGAUUUGAAUAACCCACAGUUGCUUACGUGCUGAGUGACCUGACAACAGCCUAUUGAUGGCUUUUCCACUUGUGUGCCUUCACAAGCAGAGGAGCUCAAGAGAGAGAAUUCAGGGGAAAUUAUGUGUCACAAAUACCUGGCCUCACAGUGGGCUGGAAACCAACCUGUGAACUGCAUCUUAAUCUGUUUAACCUCCCUUUUCUCUUGGUUGAAUGAAACUAUGUCCAUGGGAGAGAUGCUUUAAGCUAUUGCCUUUUAUCCCUUCACUCUACCUCCCCCCAAAACCCUAGCCAUUUUCCUGUCUGUCUUUGAACUGUGCCUCUCCCUCAGCCUUGCAGACUUGGCUUGGCAAACAAGCUUAGCCUCUGCUUAGGCAAAGUCUUGUGGGCUACCAGAGGGGAAGAUUUAGGCAAAUCCAGUAGACAAAUCCACUGGAAUAUUCCUCAGAGUUGUUUUUACAUGUGUGGUUUAAGUCUGUCUUUGAGGUUUCUCUGUCAUGACCCAUUAUUCGCAGAAUCCAGUUGACCAUCAAAUUUAGUAAAUUCAAUAGGGGGGUCUUAUUGUCAUAGUGCAUACAUAGGGAGACAUUCAUGCAUUUUGUACACAUACACAC